CCCUUAACUAUUAAAAGUUUCGUUUUGGUCCCUUAACUUAUUUUUUGAUUUCGUUUUGGUCCCUUAACUUAUUUUUUUGUUUCAUUUUGGUCCCUUAACUCUAAUACAUUCAUCCUAACAUAAAGGAUCAAAGAGGUUGACGGAGGAUGAGUUAAGGGACCAAAACGAAACCAAAAAGUAAGUUAACGGACCAAAACGAAGCUUUUAAUAGUUAAGGGA
rnacentral:pre_miRNA from 1 species